UUUGGAGGAAAAGAACUUCGCAAACCAAAAAAAACCCAGGAAAAUUGUUUAAAAUUUUCAGGGUUAAUAACGUUUGAUGUGUUUUCUAGGAAUAUAUAUAUAUAUGUAGCCAUGUUCUUUAUACCUAGCUAAGUCUCCAGUUUAUAUUUAAGUGACUAGCUAUUAGCUGCUGUAGCUAGCUAAUGCUAGCUUUAAACUAAAGAUUCCCAGUAUAUAUAAUCCCACAAAACACAUCAAACGUUAUUAACCCUGAAAAUUUUAAACAAUUUUCCUGGGUUUUUUUUGGUUUGCGAAGUUCUUUUCCUCCAAAUAUUCUGAAAAUAAAGUUCAGAAAUUACUUAUUUUUAAAAUGUAAAUUUAAUUUGUUUCAAAUUGUGGGCAAAAACCUUAAUCAGCAUGCUAAAAGAACUGACUUUUCUUAAUUUAGAAUUACUAAACACAACCAUUUUCUUACAUUUAGUGUAAACGUUUGUGCGUAUGGCUUAUAUUUAAUACACCAAAAGAGCUACUUUGUUGAUUUUAAUUUUAUACUCUUUGUAAGCUAUUUUUUUCUUCUUUUUGACAUUUCUGUUUUACCACUCAAUUUUUACAUUUUAUAAGUUAUUUGGAACAGAAUGGUAUGAAAUAGACCAAAAUACCUGAUCUUAGUUGUUUUUAAUUUACAGGCUGUGUCUGUGAAACUUUAAGGGGAACAUUUGGUGGAAGACAAUGGCAUGACAUAUACUGACAGAACUGUUUUUUGUUGCGUUAGAUGUUAUAUCUGAACCUUUUUGACAUUUUAUGUUAAUUUUGCGAGGAAGGACCAUAUAUAUAUACACAGAAGAAGAAUUCAAUUUUACACCUUGCAAGCUUUGUAUAAAUUCUUACUGGGGAGGACUCCGUGCAAUAUAUCGAAAUGACUGAUCCUUCUCGAUUUAAAUUUGAUGUGUUCUAAAUCGUAUAUAGGUUUGGAAAUUUUGUGUAAGAUUUAAUGGGUAAGGGCUAGAUGCAAUAUGUCAAAAAAACUUUUUUUGUUGAAUCAGAAGCACUCCCUACAACCAUUCUUUUUUUUACAGUUUGUGAAGCUUUUGUGAGGAAAUAGUGUAUGCAAUAUUAUCGAAAUAACUGAUUUUUGUUGCAAACUGUUUUUUUUUUGGCAUUUUGGAUUAAAAUAUUGUUUUAGAGGGCAUAUGCAGUAGAUAUAUGUACUGAAAUAGUUAAAUUUUGCAAACUUUGAUUUUGUUGUUACCUCUCAUUUUUUACAUUUUGAUUAAACUUUUGUGGGAGACCGUCGGUAUGCGAAGGACCAAAAUAAGAGAUUUUAGUAUUAUUUAGAAUUUGUAUUUUGUGUUGCAAAAUUGGUGCAAAAAUUGACAUAAAAUGAACUUAUAUAUAGAAUGAUUGCUGUUGUUUAACAUGACUCAUUAUGACUUAUAUAUAUAUUUUAUGAAAAUUUGUGACAGAAUAUUAUGUGA